GACGAACGCUGGCGGCGUGCUUAACACAUGCAAGUCGAACGGAAAGGCCCUGCUUGCAGGGUGCUCGAGUGGCGAACGGGUGAGUAACACGUGGGUGAUCUGCCCCUUACUUUGGGAUAAGCCUGGGAAACUGGGUCUAAUACUGGAUAGGACCAUGCUGUAGGUGGUGUGGUGGAAAGAUUAGUUUCGGUAAGGGAUGAGCUCGCGGCCUAUCAGCUUGUUGGUGGGGUAAUGGCCUACCAAGGCGUCGACGGGUAGCCGGCCUGAGAGGGUGGACGGCCACAUUGGGACUGAGAUAAGGCCCAGACUCCUACGGGAGGCAGCAAUGGGGAAUAUUGCACAAUGGGCGCAAGCCUGAUGCAGCGACGCCGCGUGGGGGAUGACGGCCUUCGGGUUGUAAACUCCUUUCAGCCAUGACGAAGCCUUCGGGUGACGGUAGUGGUAGAAGAAGCACCGGCUAACUACGUG
rnacentral:rRNA from 1 species